rnacentral:lncRNA from 1 species
AAAUUUUCACGCUUCAAACGAGUCGCUCUGUUUCUGCUGCUACUUUUUCAUUUAUAAUCAGUUAAUUUGCCAAUAAACGCAGAAAAUUUGGUGGAAAUGUGAAAAAAGCUUGCUGCUCUUCCCGCUGGCCUUGCGGAAGGCUAAUUUGGCUGAGAUUUUACAAGUUAGCCAUUUCCUAGUGGACUGAAUCAACUGGAACCGGCCCUCAAUGUUCUCCGCCGUGAAAUCAUUUUGUUUCUUCGAAACAGGUUCAUCAAUCAACUCGGGAGUGCGAGAGCUCGAGCCUCGUUGCCGAGCCAUGGAUGGCGCCGCGAAAGUUCUCAAUUCUUGAAUGUUCUGCCCUGAAGGAUGCCCAACACAGGAAAAGAAAAUAAUUUGGAAAUAAAUAAUGCUGUGUGGAAACGCG